rnacentral:rRNA from 1 species
GGGUUGUGAGGUUAAGCGACUAAGCGUACACGGUGGAUGCCCUGGCAGUCAGAGGCGAUGAAGGACGUGCUAAUCUGCGAUAAGCGUCGGUAAGGUGAUAUGAACCGUUAUAACCGGCGAUUUCCGAAUGGGGAAACCCAGUGUGAUUCGUCACACUAUCAUUAACUGAAUCCAUAGGUUAAUGAGGCGAACCGGGGGAACUGAAACAUCUAAGUACCCCGAGGAAAAGAAAUCAACCGAGAUUCCCCCAGUAGCGGCGAGCGAACGGGGAGGAGCCCAGAGCCUGAAUCAGUGUGUGUGUUAGUGGAAGCGUCUGGAAAGGCGCGCGAUACAGGGUGACAGCCCCGUACACAAAAAUGCACAUGCUGUGAGCUCGAUGAGUAGGGCGGGACACGUGGUAUCCUGUCUGAAUAUGGGGGGACCAUCCUCCAAGGCUAAAUACUCCUGACUGACCGAUAGUGAACCAGUACCGUGAGGGAAAGGCGAAAAGAACCCCGGCGAGGGGAGUGAAAAAGAACCUGAAACCGUGUACGUACAAGCAGUGGGAGCCUCUUUAUGGGGUGACUGCGUACCUUUUGUAUAAUGGGUCAGCGACUUAUAUUCUGUAGCAAGGUUAACCGAAUAGGGGAGCCGAAGGGAAACCGAGUCUUAACUGGGCGUUAAGUUGCAGGGUAUAGACCCGAAACCCGGUGAUCUAGCCAUGGGCAGGUUGAAGGUUGGGUAACACUAACUGGAGGACCGAACCGACUAAUGUUGAAAAAUUAGCGGAUGACUUGUGGCUGGGGGUGAAAGGCCAAUCAAACCGGGAGAUAGCUGGUUCUCCCCGAAAGCUAUUUAGGUAGCGCCUCGUGAAUUCAUCUCCGGGGGUAGAGCACUGUUUCGGCAAGGGGGUCAUCCCGACUUACCAACCCGAUGCAAACUGCGAAUACCGGAGAAUGUUAUCACGGGAGACACACGGCGGGUGCUAACGUCCGUCGUGAAGAGGGAAACAACCCAGACCGCCAGCUAAGGUCCCAAAGUCAUGGUUAAGUGGGAAACGAUGUGGGAAGGCCCAGACAGCCAGGAUGUUGGCUUAGAAGCAGCCAUCAUUUAAAGAAAGCGUAAUAGCUCACUGGUCGAGUCGGCCUGCGCGGAAGAUGUAACGGGGCUAAACCAUGCACCGAAGCUGCGGCAGCGACGCUUAUGCGUUGUUGGGUAGGGGAGCGUUCUGUAAGCCUGCGAAGGUGUACUGUGAGGUAUGCUGGAGGUAUCAGAAGUGCGAAUGCUGACAUAAGUAACGAUAAAGCGGGUGAAAAGCCCGCUCGCCGGAAGACCAAGGGUUCCUGUCCAACGUUAAUCGGGGCAGGGUGAGUCGACCCCUAAGGCGAGGCCGAAAGGCGUAGUCGAUGGGAAACAGGUUAAUAUUCCUGUACUUGGUGUUACUGCGAAGGGGGGACGGAGAAGGCUAUGUUGGCCGGGCGACGGUUGUCCCGGUUUAAGCGUGUAGGCUGGUUUUCCAGGCAAAUCCGGAAAAUCAAGGCUGAGGCGUGAUGACGAGGCACUACGGUGCUGAAGCAACAAAUGCCCUGCUUCCAGGAAAAGCCUCUAAGCAUCAGGUAACAUCAAAUCGUACCCCAAACCGACACAGGUGGUCAGGUAGAGAAUACCAAGGCGCUUGAGAGAACUCGGGUGAAGGAACUAGGCAAAAUGGUGCCGUAACUUCGGGAGAAGGCACGCUGAUACGUAGGUGAAGCGACUUGCUCGUGGAGCUGAAAUCAGUCGAAGAUACCAGCUGGCUGCAACUGUUUAUUAAAAACACAGCACUGUGCAAACACGAAAGUGGACGUAUACGGUGUGACGCCUGCCCGGUGCCGGAAGGUUAAUUGAUGGGGUUAGCGGUAACGCGAAGCUCUUGAUCGAAGCCCCGGUAAACGGCGGCCGUAACUAUAACGGUCCUAAGGUAGCGAAAUUCCUUGUCGGGUAAGUUCCGACCUGCACGAAUGGCGUAAUGAUGGCCAGGCUGUCUCCACCCGAGACUCAGUGAAAUUGAACUCGCUGUGAAGAUGCAGUGUACCCGCGGCAAGACGGAAAGACCCCGUGAACCUUUACUAUAGCUUGACACUGAACAUUGAGCCUUGAUGUGUAGGAUAGGUGGGAGGCUUUGAAGUGUGGACGCCAGUCUGCAUGGAGCCGACCUUGAAAUACCACCCUUUAAUGUUUGAUGUUCUAACGUUGGCCCCUAAUCGGGGUUGCGGACAGUGUCUGGUGGGUAGUUUGACUGGGGCGGUCUCCUCCUAAAGAGUAACGGAGGAGCACGAAGGUUGGCUAAUCCUGGUCGGACAUCAGGAGGUUAGUGCAAUGGCAUAAGCCAGCUUGACUGCGAGCGUGACGGCGCGAGCAGGUGCGAAAGCAGGUCAUAGUGAUCCGGUGGUUCUGAAUGGAAGGGCCAUCGCUCAACGGAUAAAAGGUACUCCGGGGAUAACAGGCUGAUACCGCCCAAGAGUUCAUAUCGACGGCGGUGUUUGGCACCUCGAUGUCGGCUCAUCACAUCCUGGGGCUGAAGUAGGUCCCAAGGGUAUGGCUGUUCGCCAUUUAAAGUGGUACGCGAGCUGGGUUUAGAACGUCGUGAGACAGUUCGGUCCCUAUCUGCCGUGGGCGCUGGAGAACUGAGGGGGGCUGCUCCUAGUACGAGAGGACCGGAGUGGACGCAUCACUGGUGUUCGGGUUGUCAUGCCAAUGGCACUGCCCGGUAGCUAAAUGCGGAAGAGAUAAGUGCUGAAAGCAUCUAAGCACGAAACUUGCCCCGAGAUGAGUUCUCCCUGACUCCUUGAGAGUCCUGAAGGAACGUUGAAGACGACGACGUUGAUAGGCCGGGUGUGUAAGCGCAGCGAUGCGUUGAGCUAACCGGUACUAAUGAACCGUGAGGCUUAACCUUACAACGCCGAAG